rnacentral:rRNA from 1 species
UACAGAGGUCUCAACCGUUGUUCGGAUUCAUUGGGCGUAAAGGGUGCGUAGGCGGUCGCGCAAGUCGGAUGUGAAAUCUCAGGGCUCAACCCUGAAACUGCAUUCGAUACUGCGUGGCUAGAGUGCUGGAGAGGAGACUGGAAUUUACGGUGUAGCAGUGAAAUGCGUAGAUAUCGUAAGGAAGACCAGUGGCGAAGGCGGCUCACUGGCCCGGUACUGACGCUGAGGUGCGAAAGCGUGGGGAGCAAACAGG